CGAACACCAGUUAUCUUCUGCCGGAAGUAAUCAUCUGGAUCCUGUACUCCAACUGGGACACCAAGUGGAAAUCCAAACUCUCCAUCCAGCAGUCUUCCAGAUUCAACUUCAGAAGCAAGUCUCUUGUCGAAGGUUGACUUGACAACUGGGACACCAAGUGGAAAUCCAAACUCGCCAUCCAGCAGUCUUCCAGAUUCAACUUCAGAAGCAAGUCUCUUGUCGAAGGUUGACUUGACAGCCUUUUCCCAUUCAGUAACACUCCCCACACUGCCAUAUUUCUUUAAGAGGUACCGUGCAUAGAUUACGGUUGGUGAACCUGAAACUCUUCCACUUGAUGUAAGAAUAGCUUGAGCACGACGCAUU
rnacentral:lncRNA from 1 species